AUGCCUCUACAUUUCUGAGCUUCCCAGGUUCUUUAUUUCUUUACUUGUUUAUCCUCUGAUAUACAGGUCAGAUUAUCAGAGCAUCUGCAUUCAGAGAGCAACGACCAAGCCUCCAGGAGCAAUGGGGAGGGAUGAAAACACACUGUCCAUGGCACAGUAUCUCUAAUGCAUGUGGUGGGGACCCCAAAGUUCAGACCCAGAAUGCUUUGGUGGAUGCUUACAAAGAAGACUUAUUUACAUGCUGAUAGAAGCUAACCCAAAUCCCCACCUGCCAAUGUGCUGGUAUCAGAUAGGCUGCCUGAACCAGCCUCUAAAAUGGAUGGACCACUUCUAACCAGGGUGGCUAAAGCCAACUGCAUCCCAGAGCCCUCCCAUCCUCCCUUAUUACUGGAGGAGGGCCAAGUGACAAGCGCUUCUGGCCAUCCAUAGUGGGUAGGUGCAUAGCAUACCAAUCUGCACCCACCAUUAAUGUGAUGGAUGUAAUGGUACGAGGGGAUGGUAGGGUGUUUGUUUGAGUUAUUUUUGUUUGGAUUUGUUUUUUUGUUUGUUUGUUUGAGAAAUGAUUAAUGCAUCCCCUGAAAAUAACUGGAAAUAAUGGUAUUUAAUGUAUGGGAUGAAUCCAUCCUCUUCCUCUUAUAAAUACAUUUGCUAAAUAUGGAUAUGAACAAAGGCUCUCAAACUUCAGUAAUAUGUGUUACCACUAAUGACAUUGAUCUGAGGCUUUAAAAAAACACAAGAUUGCAUUUUUCUGCUGUGAGUUAUGGAAAGCUCAUUCACUUACUUUGAGGUUUACCAAAGAACAUGUUUGUGUUCAGAAUCUGUCCCUCUAGAAAAUUAAGUCUUCUGUUUAUCCACAGAAUGACAUAGAUGGAAAAUGAAUUUAAGUCUCCCCUGGCAGUCUUUUGGUUAUGUUUGCCUUGGUCUGGUCCUGAGACCACUUUGCCUUUGAGAGCCUCUGGCUUCUUGGAUUGUAGUUUUUCUGUAGAGAAGCAUGCAUAGAUACAAUAGUGUGGUGGUGGUCUCUGUAAUGUAGGUGAGGAAUUGCAAGAGACUCACUUACUGAACUGAGAUGGCAAAUUUUGUUAACACUUAUUUAAACAGCCUGUGAACCCUAUAGUCACCCUGUUUUACAAUCUUGAAUUAUGAGCUGCUUGAAAAUACAUAGUAUUUUCUGCUUAAAUAGUUUUAUGUCUGUUUAUUCCUUAAUUGAAACAGUGUGUAUGUACCUGCAAGUACCUUUCAUAUGAAAGCCAUUAUUAAAUACUGGUAUUGCAAAUGUGUCUUUAAAAUGUAUUUUAUUGUGUUACAGAGUGUUUGUUGAGAAUCUCUCCAUU
rnacentral:lncRNA from 1 species